UACGUAGGGUGCUAGCGUUGUUCGGAAUCAUUGGGCGUAAAGCGCGUGUAGGUGGUUAGUAAAGUUGGAUGUGAAAUCCCUGGGCUCAACCGAGGAAGUGCAUUCAAAACUAACUAGCUUGAGAGUGGUAGAGGAAGGUGGAGUUCCUAGUGUAGAGGUGAAAUUCGUAGAUAUUAGGAGGAAUACCGGAGGCGAAGGCGGCCUUCUGGACCAUUUCUGACACUGAGACGCGAAAGCGUGGGGAGCAAACAGG
rnacentral:rRNA from 1 species